rnacentral:lncRNA from 1 species
GGUAUUCUUACAUGAUUGUUGAUGCAUGUUGAUGCUUAUAAUGCUCAUUGCUAAUCGUUAAUUGAUUGUUAAUCAUGUAUGAAGUAUAAACGAAGAAUAUUAAGGUUUUGUUAAAUCUUAAUGAUGAAGUAUGUUGGAUAGUGUUCCACAUAGUAAAUGAAGAGCUUUAUGCUAUAUAAUUGUGAGUGAAUUCAUGAAAAACAUAUACAUGCAUUCAUGAAU